rnacentral:rRNA from 1 species
GGAUCAUUACUGAGUUACCGCUCUAUAACCCUUUGUGAACAUACCUAUAACCGUUGCUUCGGCGGGCGGCGCGGCCACUGCGGCCCGCCCCCCGGCCCCGCUCGUCGGGGCGCCCGCCGGAGGAUACCCAAACUCUGAUUUAACGACGUUUCUUCUGAGUGGCACAAGCAAAUAAUCAAAACUUUUAACAACGGAUCUCUUGGUUCUGGCAUCGAUGAAGAACGCAGCGAAAUGCGAUAAGUAAUGUGAAUUGCAGAAUUCAGUGAAUCAUCGAAUCUUUGAACGCACAUUGCGCCCGCCAGCAUUCUGGCGGGCAUGCCUGUUCGAGCGUCAUUUCAACCCUCAAGCUCUGCUUGGUGUUGGGGCCCUACGGUUGACGUAGGCCCUCAAAGGUAGUGGCGGACCCUCUCGGAGCCUCCUUUGCGUAGUAACUUUUGUCUCGCACUGGGAUCCGGAGGGGCUUCUGGCCGUAAAACCCCCAAUUUUUCCAAAGGUUGACCUCGGAUCAGGUAGGAAUACCCGCUGAACUUAAGCAUAUCAAUAAGCGGAGGAAAAGAAACCAACAGGGAUUGCCCCAGUAACGGCGAGUGAAGCGGCAACAGCUCAAAUUUGAAAUCUGGCCCUUUCGGGCCCGAGUUGUAAUUUGCAGAGGAUGCUUUUGGCGCGGUGCCUUCUAAGUUCCCUGGAACGGGACGCCAUAGAGGGUGAGAGACCCGUACGGUUGGACACCAAGCCUUUGUAAAGCUCCUUCGACGAGUCGAGUAGUUUGGGAAUGCUGCUCUAAAUGGGAGGUAUAUUUCUUCUAAAGCUAAAUACCGGCCAGAGACCGAUAGCGCACAAGUAGAGUGAUCGAAAGAUGAAAAGCACUUUGAAAAGAGGGUUAAACAGCACGUGAAAUUGUUAAAAGGGAAGCGCUUGUGACCAGACUUGCGCCCGGUGAAUCACCCAGCUCUCGCGGCUGGGGCACUUUGCCGGCUCAGGCCAGCAUCAGCUCGCCGUCGGGGACAAAAGCUUCGGGAACGUAGCUCUCUUCGGGGAGUGUUAUAGCCCGUUGCAUAAUACC